UGGGGAAUUUUGGACAAUGGGCGAAAGCCUGAUCCAGCAAUGCCGCGUGUGUGAAGAAGGCCUUCGGGUUGUAAAGCACUUUUGUCCGGAAAGAAAUCCUUGGCUCUAAUACAGUCGGGGGAUGACGGUACCGGAAGAAUAAGCACCGGCUAACUACGUGCCAGCAGCCGCGGUAAUACGUAGGGUGCAAGCGUUAAUCGGAAUUACUGGGCGUAAAGCGUGCGCAGGCGGUUUGCUAAGACCGAUGUGAAAUCCCCGGGCUCAACCUGGGAACUGCAUUGGUGACUGGCGGGGCUAGAGUAUGGCAGAGGGGGGUAGAAUUCCACGUGUAGCAGUGAAAUGCGUAGAGAUGUGGAGGAAUACCGAUGGCGAAGGCAGCCCCCUGGGCCAAUACUGACGCUCAUGCACGAAAGCGUGGGGAGCAAACAGGAUUAGAUACCCUGGUAGUCCACGCCCUAAACGAUGUCAACNAGUUGUUGGGGAUUUCAUUUUCCUUAG
rnacentral:rRNA from 1 species